rnacentral:antisense_RNA from 1 species
UUUAGCAUUGGCCUUGCGGGCCAUAAUCCCAUUGCCUACGGCAUGCAGCAAGUGGGUUUUACCCAGACCGGUUCCGCCAUA